CCUGGCUCAGAUUGAACGCUGGCGGCAGGCUUAAUACAUGCAAGUCGAACGGUAGCAGCAGGAAGGCUUGCCUUCUGGCUGACGAGUGGCGGACGGGUGAGUAAUACCUGGGAAACUGCCUACAAGAGGGGGACAACACCUGGAAACGGGUGCUAAUACCGCAUAAGCCCUGAGGGGAAAAGGAUGGGAAACCAUGCGCUUGUAGAUGUGCCCAGGAGGGAUUAGCUUGUUGGGGAGGCAAAGGCUCACCAAGGCGACGAUCUCUAGCUGGUCUGAGAGGAUGAUCAGCCACAUUGGGACUGAGACACGGCCCAAACUCCUACGGGAGGCAGCAGUAGGGAAUAUUGCACAAUGGGGGAAACCCUGAUGCAGCCAUGCCGCGUGUGUGAAAGAAGGCCUUCGGGUUGUAAAGCACUUUCAGCGGGGAGGAAGGCGCGAGCUCCAACAGGGCCUGGCGUCAGACGUUACCCGCAGAAGAAGCGCCGGCUAACUCCGUGCCAGCAGCCGC
rnacentral:rRNA from 1 species